UUUUCAUGUAAGUUUUAGAUUUAUUAAAUAAGUUGUUUUUGCAGUAAUUAAUUUUAAGUUUUUAGGCAAUUAAGACUUAGGAAUAGAUAAUUACUCUGACUUAAUUUGUGCCAGCAGUCGCGGUUAGACAAAUAGAGUUAGUUAAAGUUUUUGGAUAACAGUUAAUUUUUUAUUGAAGUUUAAAUUUAAAAUUAUUAGGUGAAAUUUUAAUUUUUAUUUAUAUUUUUUUUAUGAGGCUGUUAAAUUUAUUAUUAAACUAGGAUUAGAUACCCUAUUAUUUUAAAUGUAAAUUUUUUUCCAGGUUAGUAUUAGUUAUUUUCUUGAAAACAAAAAAAUUUGGCGGUAUUUUAGUCUUUUCAGAGGAACCUGUCCUGUAAUUGAUAAUCCACGAUUAUAUGUACUUGUUUUAAAUUUGUAUAUCGUCGUGCUUGAUUUUUUUAAAAGAAUUGUUAAUGGUCAAUAAUCUUAAUUAAGAGUGAAUUCAGAUCAAGAUGCAGUUAUGGACAAGUAGAGAUGGGUUACAAUAAAUAUAUUUAAAUGGUUAGGAUUUUUUAAAUUUCUUAUAAAGUGGAUUUGAAAGUAAUUUUUAAUUAUUUUUUAAAUUUGAUUUAGCUCUAAAAUAUGCACAUAUUGCCCGUCGCUUUCAUAAAAAUGAAAUAAGUCGUAACAAAGUAGACGUACUGGAAAGUGUGUCUAGAAAGAU
rnacentral:rRNA from 1 species